UACGGGGGGAGCAAGCGUUGUUCGGAUUUACUGGGCGUAAAGGGCGCGUAGGCGGCCACCGCAAGUCGACUGUGAAAUCUCCGGGCUUAACCCGGAAAGGUCAGCCGAUACUGCGGGGCUAGAGUGCAGAAGGGGCAACUGGAAUUCUCGGUGUAGCGGUGAAAUGCGUAGAGUAUCGAGAGGAACACCUGCGGCGAAGGCGGGUUGCUGGGCUGACACUGACGCUGAGGCGCGAAAGCUAGGGGAGCGAACGGG
rnacentral:rRNA from 1 species